rnacentral:rRNA from 1 species
UUUAUGGAGAGUUUGAUCCUGGCUCAGGAUGAACGCUGGCGGCGUGCCUAAUACAUGCAAGUCGAGCGAACGGACGAGAAGCUUGCUUCUCUGAUGUUAGCGGCGGACGGGUGAGUAACACGUGGAUAACCUACCUAUAAGACUGGGAUAACUUCGGGAAACCGGAGCUAAUACCGGAUAAUAUUUUGAACCGCAUGGUUCAAAAGUGAAAGACGGUCUUGCUGUCACUUAUAGAUGGAUCCGCGCUGCAUUAGCUAGUUGGUAAGGUAACGGCUUACCAAGGCAACGAUGCAUAGCCGACCUGAGAGGGUGAUCGGCCACACUGGAACUGAGACACGGUCCAGACUCCUACGGGAGGCAGCAGUAGGGAAUCUUCCGCAAUGGGCGAAAGCCUGACGGAGCAACGCCGCGUGAGUGAUGAAGGUCUUCGGAUCGUAAAACUCUGUUAUUAGGGAAGAACAUAUGUGUAAGUAACUGUGCACAUCUUGACGGUACCUAAUCAGAAAGCCACGGCUAACUACGUGCCAGCAGCCGCGGUAAUACGUAGGUGGCAAGCGUUAUCCGGAAUUAUUGGGCGUAAAGCGCGCGUAGGCGGUUUUUUAAGUCUGAUGUGAAAGCCCACGGCUCAACCGUGGAGGGUCAUUGGAAACUGGAAAACUUGAGUGCAGAAGAGGAAAGUGGAAUUCCAUGUGUAGCGGUGAAAUGCGCAGAGAUAUGGAGGAACACCAGUGGCGAAGGCGACUUUCUGGUCUGUAACUGACGCUGAUGUGCGAAAGCGUGGGGAUCAAACAGGAUUAGAUACCCUGGUAGUCCACGCCGUAAACGAUGAGUGCUAAGUGUUAGGGGGUUUCCGCCCCUUAGUGCUGCAGCUAACGCAUUAAGCACUCCGCCUGGGGAGUACGACCGCAAGGUUGAAACUCAAAGGAAUUGACGGGGACCCGCACAAGCGGUGGAGCAUGUGGUUUAAUUCGAAGCAACGCGAAGAACCUUACCAAAUCUUGACAUCCUUUGACAACUCUAGAGAUAGAGCCUUCCCCUUCGGGGGACAAAGUGACAGGUGGUGCAUGGUUGUCGUCAGCUCGUGUCGUGAGAUGUUGGGUUAAGUCCCGCAACGAGCGCAACCCUUAAGCUUAGUUGCCAUCAUUAAGUUGGGCACUCUAAGUUGACUGCCGGUGACAAACCGGAGGAAGGUGGGGAUGACGUCAAAUCAUCAUGCCCCUUAUGAUUUGGGCUACACACGUGCUACAAUGGACAAUACAAAGGGCAGCGAAACCGCGAGGUCA